rnacentral:misc_RNA from 1 species
AAGACUAUAGACCUGCGGAGUACCUGCGGAAGGAUCAUUACCGAGUUUACAACUCCCAAACCCAAUGUGAACGUUACCAAACUGUUGCCUCGGCGGGAUCUCUGCCCCGGGUGCGUCGCAGCCCCGGACCAAGGCGCCCGCCGGAGGACCAACCAAAACUCUUUUGUAUACCCCCUCGCGGGUUUUUUUAUAUCUGAGCCAUCUCGGCGCCUCUCGUAGGCGUUUCGAAAAUGAAUCAAA